rnacentral:rRNA from 1 species
CACGUAGGGCGCAAGCGUUGUCCGGAAUUAUUGGGCGUAAAGAGCUCGUAGGCGGUCUGUUGCGUCCGCUGUGAAAACUCGGGGCUUAACCCCGAGCCUGCAGUGGAUACGGGCAGACUAGAGGUAGGUAGGGGAGAAUGGAAUUCCCGGUGUCGCGGUGAAAUGCGCAGAUAUCGGGAGGAACACCGGUGGCGAAGGCGGUUCUCUGGGCCUUACCUGACGCUGAGGAGCGAAAGCGUGGGGAGCGAACAGG